CCUCGCUGUGGCGCAGCGUACACAUGCAAGUCGAGCGGUAACACAAGGGAGCUUGCUCCUGAGGUGACGAGCGGCGGACGGGUGAGUAAUGCCUAGGGAUCUGCCCAGUCGAGGGGGAUAACAGUUGGAAACGACUGCUAAUACCGCAUACGCCCUACGGGGGAAAGGAGGGGACCUUCGGGCCUUCCGCGAUUGGAUGAACCUAGGUGGGAUUAGCUAGUUGGUGAGGUAAUGGCUCACCAAGGCGACGAUCCCUAGCUGUUCUGAGAGGAUGAUCAGCCACACUGGGACUGAGACACGGCCCAGACUCCUACGGGAGGCAGCAGUGGGGAAUAUUGCACAAUGGGGGAAACCCUGAUGCAGCCAUGCCGCGUGUGUGAAGAAGGCCUUCGGGUUGUAAAGCACUUUCAGUAGGGAGGAAAGGUAAUAGUUUAAUAAACUAUUACUGUGACGUUACCUACAGAAGAAGGACCGGCUAACUCCGUGCCAGCAGCCGCGGUAAUACGGAGGGUCCGAGCGUUAAUCGGAAUUACUGGGCGUAAAGCGUGCGCAGGCGGUUUGUUAAGCCAGAUGUGAAAUCCCCGGGCUCAACCUGGGAAUUGCAUUUGGAACUGGCGAACUAGAGUCUUGUAGAGGGGGG
rnacentral:rRNA from 1 species